rnacentral:rRNA from 2 species
AAACUUGAGAGUUUGAUCAUGGCUCAGAACGUACGCUGGCGGCACGCCUAACACAUGCAAGUCGAACGAAGUAGCAAUACUUAGUGGCAGACGGGUGAGUAACAUGUAGGUAUCUGCCCUUUGGCCUGGAAUAACACGAGGAAACUUGUGCUAAUACCGGAUAAGUCUUUACGGAGAAAGCUUUAUGCACCAUUGGAUGAGCCUGCACUUGAUUAGUUUGUUGGUGGGGUAAUGGCCUACCAAGACUGUGAUCAAUAGCUGAUUUGAGAGGAUGAUCAGCCACAUUGGGACUGAGACACGGCCCAAACUCCUACGGGAGGCAGCAGUGGGGAAUCUUGCACAAUGGAGGAAACUCUGAUGCAGCGAUGCCGCGUGAGUGAAGAAGGCCUUUGGGUUGUAAAGCUCUUUCGUCGGGGAAGAAAAUGACUGUACCCGAAUAAGAAGGUCCGGCUAACUUCGUGCCAGCAGCCGCGGUAAUACGAAGGGACCUAGCGUAGUUCGGAAUUACUGGGCUUAAAGAGUUCGUAGGUGGUUGAAAAAGUUAGUGGUGAAAUCCCAGAGCUUAACUCUGGAACUGCCAUUAAAACUUUUCAGCUAGAGUAUGAUAGAGGAAAGCAGAAUUUCUAGUGUAGAGGUGAAAUUCGUAGAUAUUAGAAAGAAUACCAAUUGCGAAGGCAGCUUUCUGGAUCAUUACUGACACUGAGGAACGAAAGCAUGGGUAGCGAAGAGGAUUAGAUACCCUCGUAGUCCAUGCCGUAAACGAUGUGUGUUAGACGUUGGAAAUUUAUUUUCAGUGUCGCAGGGAAACCGAUAAACACACCGCCUGGGGAGUACGACCGCAAGGUUAAAACUCAAAUGAAUUGACGGGGACCCGCACAAGUAGUGGAGCAUGUGGUUUAAUUCGAAGAUACGCGCAGAACCUUACCAACACUUGACAUGUUCGUCGCGACUCUAAGAGAUUAGAGUUUUCGGUUCGGCCGGACGAAACACAGGUGCUGCAUGGCUGUCGUCAGCUCGUGUCGUGAGAUGUUGGGUUAAGUCCCGCAACGAGCGCAACCCUCACUUUUAGUUGCCAUCAUUAAGUUGGGCACUCUGAAAGAACUGCCAGUGAUAAGCUGGAGGAAGGUGGGGAUGACGUCAAGUCCUCAUGGCCCUUACGUGUUGGGCUACACACGUGCUACAAUGGUAUCUACAACAGGAAGCAAGACUGCGAAGUUAAGCAAAUCCCUAAAAGAUACCUCAGUUCGGAUUGCACUCUGCAACUCGAGUGCAUGAAGCUGGAAUUACUAGUAAUCGUGGAUCAGCGUGCCACGGUGAAUGCGUUCCCGGGUCUUGUACACACCGCCCGUCACACCAUGGGAGUUGGUUCUACCUUAAGGCAAGGUUUCAAACCCUUGACCACGGUAUAGUCAGCGACUGGGGUGAAGUCGUAACAAGGUAGCCGUAGGGGAACCUGCGGCUGGAUUACCUCCUUU